UUGAUUUGUUCUCGGCAACCACCUUAAAGAAUUACAUAUGUAAUUGCAAUCCCCUCCAUGUGCUAUCUUCUGGGCAAUUUAUUGGUUGUUAUGCUUAUAUUUAUAUAUUUUCUCUCUAAUUAUGUGUACAGUGUCUCUUAUAUACGAAUUAUUAGGUGUUCUAUUACAUCAUGGAAUUUGACUUCAUUGUAAUGCCUCGUUAAUUGUUCAAAGGUUGCAUUUGAAGCAAUCUUCUCCGAGUGUUUACUUCAGACUUUAAUCUUCACUUACUAAGUCUCGGGAAAAUUAGGUGAUAUUCUUAAUUUCAUCAUCCUCUUAUUCAUUGUUAAUGCUCCAUUCUUGUACGUUGCUCACCGUUCUAUUUCUACUCUUCAGACUUGAUGUUCUAAGAUUAGGAUGUGUGGGAGAUAUCAAGUGGUAAGAGAAUGAGUCACGUAUCUUUAACAUGUUUCGUUCUCGUGGGAAAUCAACGAGGCUAGCUUGUAAGCUUUAUGGUUCCUACCUUUGGCAAUAUCAUGGAAGCAAAUUGGAUAUGCAAGUGAUGAUCUGUCUCAACAUCGACGGGUGGACAAUGUUUGACAGAUUGGUAAUUUGGUAUUUCGAGCUUCUUCAACUGUGGAGCUGAAUCUAAGUGAUUGCAUAACAUGUUUGAAUGUCAGUUUCUUUGUCAACCUUCUUAGUAUGAUGACAAACACUGAAGAGCUUGUGUAUAAAAGUGAGAGUCCUUUUCGGUUAAGAUGUGCUUGUAAAAGUAAGUUAAUUAUCUAUUAUGAGGUGAUUGAAAGCCGCUCGAUGCAGAUUGCAAAUUCCUGUUUUUGAUACAUCAAAGGGUGCAGGAUUACUUCCCGUGGUUUAUGAUGGAUAAUGUUAUAACCAUUACACGUGUUACUAAAAUACUUAAACAAAUAAAGAUUGGUUACUUAGAAUUGGGUAUACUUUUUUAUUCUGUAACAAUAUUUUUUAGAUUAUCAUGUUUCAAUUCAUCUGCCUUCAUCUUGAUGAAAUGGUUCUUCUACCUUAGUGGUUGAACAACAUCGAUGGAACUUUUUUCUUGCGAUUCAACUUCAGCCUAUUUGAAAAUGAAUACUAGGAAUGAUCGGAUCAAAUCCUGUAGAAUAUAGGUUUGGUUGUUUGGAUGAAUCUUGUAAAAUGUAUUUCACAUUUUUAUUCAAUAGCGAUUUUAACAAUCCAAAAUCCUUCAGAGGAUUCUUGUUCUCUUUAGUCAUUCUUCAACUUCGAAGUUGAUCGUAAAUGAGAAAUCUGAAUUUGACCUGUUUUAAAAAGCAACGAUCUUUAAUUUCACAUUCAUUUGAUAAAGCAAAUGAACAAAAAAUGGAAAAUCAAAAUAAACUGGAUGCUUCCGGUGAGGAAGAAAAACUAAAGGGAACAUUGAAAAAUAAAGAAAAUGAUGUCGAUUCUUUAUCCAUGAAUUUGCAUACUACUUUGUUUUGUUUUUAAGAAAAAAUACUGAGAGGUCAUGCUUGAGAAUUUAGUGAGGGAUGUUGUGGCUCAUGGUGGGAAGUCAGUGAAAACUUUUAUUGACCUGUUUUAUAGAAUUGAAACCUUGUUA